ACGGGUGAGUAACGCGUGGGAAUCUACCCUUGACUACGGAAUAACGCAGGGAAACUUGUGCUAAUACCGUAUGUGUCCUUCGGGAGAAAGAUUUAUCGGUCAAGGAUGAGCCCGCGUUGGAUUAGCUAGUUGGUGGGGUAAAGGCCUACCAAGGCGACGAUCCAUAGCUGGUCUGAGAGGAUGAUCAGCCACAUUGGGACUGAGACACGGCCCAAACUCCUACGGGAGGCAGCAGUGGGGAAUAUUGGACAAUGGGCGCAAGCCUGAUCCAGCCAUGCCGCGUGAGUGAUGAAGGCCCUAGGGUUGUAAAGCUCUUUCACCGGAGAAGAUAAUGACGGUAUCCGGAGAAGAAGCCCCGGCUAACUUCGUGCCAGCAGCCGCGGUAAUACGAAGGGGGCUAGCGUUGUUCGGAAUUACUGGGCGUAAAGCGCACGUAGGCGGAUCGAUCAGUCAGGGGUGAAAUCCCAGGGCUCAACCCUGGAACUGCCUUUGAUACUGUCGAUCUGGAGUAUGGAAGAGGUGAGUGGAA
rnacentral:rRNA from 10 species